rnacentral:misc_RNA from 1 species
UCCGAGUUGACCCCGGCAGUCUCCCACGAGUCCCCGGCAUAACCCGCUGGCAACAUGGGACAAGGGUUGCGCUCGUUGCGGGACUUAACCCAACAUCUCACGACACGAGCUGACGACAGCCAUGCAGCACCUGUCUUGGGACUCCGAAGAGGUGCCGUGGUUUCUCACGGCUUUCCCCAAGAUGUCAAGCCCAGGUAAGGUUCUUCGCGUUGCGUCGAAUUAAACCACAUGCUCCACCGCUUGUGCGGGCCCCCGUCAAUUCCUUUGAGUUUCAACCUUGCAGUCGUACUUCCCAGGUGGAUUACUUAAUGCUUUCGCUCAGACACACACAGUGUAUCGCGUAUGUCGAGUAAUCAUCGUUUAGGGCGUGGACUAC